CCGCCCCCCCUGCCGACGCCGACGCGCCCACAACCCGUCCCAUUUUCUCCCCUUCUCUUCCCCCAGUGCUCCGCGCAUCGACGCAUCGCCGCCUCCUCCCUCCCCCAGAAGCCGGACAGGGUCCACACUCUCCUCCUCCUCCCUCCGCACCACCAUCAUAACCGCCAAGUCGUCAUCCGCGCCGCCCGCCGAAACCGGGAGCUGCGAAUCCGACGCCCAUGGCACCCUUGAGACUCCUCCGGUCCGCCGUCGGACGGCUCAGGACGGCGGCGCCCGCCGGCCGCGCAGCUUUCUCCAGCGCCGCCGCCACGACGGAGGCCAAGGCGACCGUCCGCGAGGGGGUGAUCGCCGCCGCCGCCGCGGCCGUCGCCGGGUCCGGGCUGGGGCUCUGGCUCAUGCCGCCGGCGCUCGCGGACUCCGGGGAGCUGGCCCGCGCCGCCGCGCCCGGGCAGAUCGCCGCGGCCGGGCAGAUCGCCGCGGCCGGGCAGAUCUCGGCGGCCGCCGGCGCCGUCGAGGAGCGGCACGAGAAGCCCAAGAGGUUCCUGCUCGCAGACUCAUACCGCCGAAGGGUGUUCUUCAACUACGAGAAAAGGAUACGGCUUCGCAGCCCUCCUGAAAAGAUUUUUGAGUAUUUCGCGUCUGUGCGAAAACCGGAUGGGGAAAUGUUCAUGUUGCCUGCCGACUUGAUGAGAGCGGUGGUCCCUGUUUCCCUCCAUCGGAGUCGAACGUCGUGCGGGAAGGGAGGCUAAGGGGGGAACCCAGCCCCGGAGAGUUGCACUGUGCUCCAUCCAAAUUCUUCGUUCUAUUCGACACGAACACCGAUGGUCUCAUCUCGUUUGCCGAGUACAUCUUCUUUGUUACAUUACUCAGCAUUCCUGAGUCAAGCUUCAGUGCGGCCUUCAAAAUGUUCGACGUUGAUCUCAGUGGGGAGAUAGACAAAGAAGAGUUCAAGAAAGUAAUGGCAUUGAUGCGGUCCUAUAACAGACAAGGAGCUGCCCAUAGGCAUGGCUUACGUACAGGAUUUAAAGUUGGCCAGUCUGUGGAAAAUGGUGGGGUGGUUGAGUAUUUCUUUGGUAAUGAUGGGAAUGAACCUUUACACUUUGAUAAGUUCACAAGUUUUUUGAAGGAAUUGCAUGAAGAGAUUAUUCGUCUGGAAUUCAGUCAUUAUGAUGUCAAGUCGACAAACACCAUCCCUGCAAAGGAUUUUGCACUGUCCAUGGUUGCUUCUGCUGACAUGAAUCACAUUAGCAAGCUACUUGAUAGAGCUGAUACGUUGGGCAAUGACCCUUAUCUCAAGAACUUGCGCAUUACCUUUGAGGAGUUCAAGGCAUUUGCUGAUUUACGUCGAAGAUUGGAAUCAUUGACGAUGGCUAUAUUUGCUUAUGGUCAAGUAAAUGGGCUGCUGACAAAGCAGGAUCUGAAGCGUGCAGCUCAGCAUGUCUGUGGUGUUGAAUUAACCGACAGAGUGGUAGACAUCAUUUUCCAUGUGUUUGACAUGAACAAUGAUGGGCACCUGAGCUCAGAGGAGUUUCUGAGAGCACUACAAAGACGAGAAGCCGAUAUUCAUCAGCCAGCGGCACGAGGAGGUCCCAUGGGCUGGCUGAACCCUAAAAACCGCUCUUCGCUUCUGCAGAUGCUGCGCUAGUAGAGUUUUUGAUUGUCGCAAGAUCUUUUCUUCUUUAGCUUUGGGUUAGGUACCAUCUGAAUGGUAUGUCUGCCUAGUGUAGGUCACAUAAGAUUAGUUCAUCCAGUCUUGUUAUAGUAUCCUGUUCUGUCACUUGUGCUCAGGAGUGGGAGGAGAUUUUGCUGUAAAUAUUAUGUAGGUAUAGCGGUUGAUCCGGUUGUAAAUAGUGUAUUUGUUAUAGUCUCUCAGUACAUGGUGAUGUGUUGUAUCAGUAUAGGAGGGUGUAAGUUUCAAACCUUGUCCAUUUUUGCCGUUCCUUUUUUAUUGAUUUAUAGAUGCAUUUCAUAA